rnacentral:rRNA from 1 species
AUUGAACGCUGGCGGCAGGCCUAACACAUGCAAGUCGAGCGGAUGACGGGAGCUUGCUCCUUGAUUCAGCGGCGGACGGGUGAGUAAUGCCUAGGAAUCUGCCUGGUAGUGGGAGGCAACGUUUCGAAAGGAACGCUAAUACCGCAUACGUCCUACGGGAGAAAGCAGGGGACCUUCGGGCCUUGCGCUAUCAGAUGAGCCUAGGUCGGAUUAGCUUGUUGGUGAGGUAAUGGCCCAACAAGGCGACGAUCCGUAACUGGCCUGAGAGGAUGGUCAGUCACACUGGAACUGAGACACGGUCCAGACUCCUACGGGAGGCAGCAGUGGGGAAUAUUGGACAAUGGGCGAAAGCCUGAUCCAGCCAUGCCGCGUGUGUGAAGAAGGUCUUCGGAUUGUAAAGCACUUUAAGUUGGGAGGAAGGGUUGUAGAUUAAUACUCUGCAAUUUUGACGUUACCGACAGAAUAAGCACCGGCUAACUCUGUGCCAGCCGCCGCGGUAA